AGAAACAUAGGUUAAACACCCAAACCAUGGGCCUUCAAAGCCCAAAUUGUGAUACCAACUCACUGUUUCUG
rnacentral:tRNA from 1 species